UCUUUACGAAGGAGCCGAUAUGGACACACACUACCUCUGCAAACACCAGAAUAAGAUGCUUAGUGGACAACGUUAACGCAAUAGAGAAGAGAUCUGUAAUCUUCACACGAUCUUGUUACAGCCAGGGACAUAAGGUGUCUAGAAUAUUCCAAGGAACUUUUGACAAGUUUCGAAAAAAGCAUAUGGACGUGACACCUAGAGGCAUGGGCACCUACUUUCAAGAGGACAUGCUCUAUAUGCGUAGUGAUAAAGGCUGUGCUGUGAUUAUGGUCACAUAUCCUUUUUGCGGCAGAUAUGUCAUCUAUGAUCUCCGAGUCAAGAAUUCCCACAUUAAAAGACCACCACAUCCCAAAUGCGUUCAGGAAUACCUGAAGUACGAGAAGUAUGGCAAAGUUAUAUAUGACUCAAGCUGCCAGGGUAUACUUGCAGCAAUGGGAAAGGCGGGGCUGUACCAACCGAAUGAUCGUUGUCCGAAUCGCGUUAACUGACUGAAACGCGUUUCUACGACAUCCGUAUUACAAAGAAAUCCUAACUUAAAGAUGUUUGAAGCCGAUGGGCGUUCCAAGACAUUAUCCAUGUGAGC